rnacentral:rRNA from 1 species
AGAAUCAACGCUGGCGGCGUGCCUAACACAUGCAAGUCGAUCGAGAAAGUGGAGCAAUCCAUGAGUAAAGAGGCGCACGGGUGAGUAACACGUGACUAACCUACCUUCGAGUGGGGAAUAACCUGGGGAAACCCGGGCUAAUACCGCAUAACACCUACGGGUCAAAGGAGCAAUUCGCUUGAAGAGGGGGUCGCGGCAGAUUAGUUAGUUGGCGGGGUAAUGGCCCACCAAGACGAUGAUCUGUAUCCGGCCUGAGAGGGCGCACGGACACACUGGAACUGAAACACGGUCCAGACUCCUACGGGAGGCAGCAGUGGGGAAUUUUGCGCAAUGGGGGAAACCCUGACGCAGCAACGCCGCGUGGAGGAUGAAGUCCCUUGGGACGUAAACUCCUUUCGACCGGGACGAUUAUGACGGUACCGGAUGAAGACGCCCCGGCUAACUCGCGCCAGCAGCCGC